rnacentral:piRNA from 1 species
UGGUACCGGUGCCGCUUGCUUAG